AACGGUGUCUUCGGACACAGUGGCGGACGGGUGAGUAACGCGUGAGAAUCUGCCAUCAGGUCUGGGACAACCACUGGAAACGGUGGCUAAUACCGGAUGUGCCGAGAGGUGAAAGGUUAACUGCCUGAUGAUGAGCUCGCGUCUGAUUAGCUAGUUGGCAGUGUAAUGGACUACCAAGGCGACGAUCAGUAGCUGGUCUGAGAGGAUGAUCAGCCACACUGGGACUGAGACACGGCCCAGACUCCUACGGGAGGCAGCAGUGGGGAAUUCUCCGCAAUGGGCGAAAGCCUGACGGAGCAAUACCGCGUGAGGGAGGAAGGCCUAUUGGUUGUAAACCUCUUUUGAUAGGGAAGAACACAAUGACGGUACCUAUCGAAUCAGCAUCGGCUAACUCCGUGCCAGCAGCCGCGGUAAUACGGAGGAUGCAAGCGUUAUCCGGAUUUAUUGGGCGUAAAGCGUCCGUAGGUGGCAAACCAAGUCAGUUGUUAAAGCGUAGAGCUUAACUCUAUAAGGGCAAUUGAAACUGGUUAGCUAGAGUGCGAUAGGGGCAAGGGAAAUUCCCAGUGUAGCGGUGAAAUGCGUAGAUAUUGGGAAGAACAUCGGUGGCGAAGGCGCCUUGCUGGGUCUGCACUGACACUGAGGGACGAAAGCUAGGGGAGCGAAAGGGAUUAGAUACCCCUGUAGUCCUAGCCGUAAACGAUGGAUACUAGGCGUUGUCCGUAUCGACCCGAGCCGUGCCGAAGC
rnacentral:rRNA from 1 species